rnacentral:rRNA from 1 species
CCUACGGGAGGCAGCAGUGAGGAAUAUUGGUCAAUGGGCGGGAGCCUGAACCAGCCAAGUCGCGUGAGGGCAGACGGUCCUAUUGAUUGUAAACCUCUUUAGGCGGGGAGCAAUGCCGGGCACGCGUGCCCUGAGGGAGAGUACCCGCAGAAUAAGCAUCGGCUAACUCCGUGCCAGCAGCCGCGGUAAUACGGAGAAUGCGAGCGUUAUCCGGAUUUAUUGGGUUUACAGGGUGCGUAGGCGGAUUUUUAAGUCAGCGGUAAAAUGUCCGGGCUCAUCACGGGCCGGCCGUUGAGACUUGGGAUGUUGAGUGGGCGAGAAGUAUGCGGAAUGCGUGGUGUAGCGGUGAAAUGCAUAGAUAUCACGCAGAACUCCGAUUGCGAAGGAAGCAUACCGGCGCCCGACUGACGCUGAGGCACGAAAGCGUGGGGAUCGAACAGGAUUAGAUACCCGAGUAGUC